GAUAAACGCUGGCGGCGCACAUAAGACAUGCAAGUCGAACGGACUUAACCAUUAGUUUACUAUUGGAGCGGUUAGUGGCGGACUGGUGAGUAACACGUAAGCAACCUGCCUAUCAGAGGGGAACAACAGUUAGAAAUGACUGCUAAUACCGCAUAUACCUAAGUAUCACAUGAUACAAUAGGGAAAGGAGCAAUCCGCUGAUAGAUGGGCUUGCGUCUGAUUAGAUAGUUGGUGGGGUAAUGGCCUACCAAGUCAACGAUCAGUAGCCGAACUGAGAGGUUGAACGGCCACAUUGGGACUGAGAUACGGCCCAG
rnacentral:rRNA from 1 species